rnacentral:rRNA from 1 species
UACGUAGGGGGCAAGCGUUGUCCGGAUUUAUUGGGCGUAAAGAGCGUGUAGGCGGCCAAGCAGGUCCGCUGUGAAAACUCGAGGCUCAACCUCGAGACGUCGGUGGAAACCGUUUGGCUAGAGUCCGGAAGAGGAGAGUGGAAUUCCCGGUGUAGCGGUGAAAUGCGCAGAUAUCGGGAAGAACACCCGUGGCGAAGGCGGCUCUCUGGGACGGUACUGACGCUGAGACGCGAAAGCGUGGG